UACCAGCACCCCGAGUGGUCGGGACGAUUAUUGGGCCUAAAGCAUCCGUAGCCGGUUCUGCAAGUCUUCCGUUAAAUCCAGCCGCUCAACGGAUGGGCCGCGGAGGAUACUAUAGGACUAGGAGGCGGGAGAGGCAAGCGGUACUCAGUGGGUAGGGGUAAAAUCCUUUGAUCCAUUGAAGACCACCAGUGGCGAAGGCGGCUUGCCAGAACGCGCUCGACGGUGAGGGAUGAAAGCUGGGGGAGCAA
rnacentral:rRNA from 1 species